GCAUAUCCAAAAGCGGAGGAAAAGAAACCAACAGGGAUUGCCCUAGUAACGGCGAGUGAAGCGGCAACAGCUCAAAUUUGAAAGCUGGCCUUCGGGUCCGCAUUGUAAUUUGUAGAGGAUGCUUUGGGUGAAACGCCAGUCUAAGUUCCUUGGAACAGGACGUCAUAGAGGGUGAGAAUCCCGUAUGUGACUGGAAAUGUUAACCUAUGUAAAGCUCCUUCGACGAGUCGAGUUGUUUGGGAAUGCAGCUCUAAAUGGGAGGUAAAUUUCUUCUAAAGCUAAAUAUUGGCGAGAGACCGAUAGCGCACAAGUAGAGUGAUCGAAAGAUGAAAAGCACUUUGGAAAGAGAGUUAAAAAGCACGUGAAAUUGUUGAAAGGGAAGCGCUUGCAAUCAGACUUGUUUAAACUGUUCGGCCGGUCUUCUGACCGGUUUACUCAGUUUGGACAGGCCAGCAUCAGUUUCGGCGGCCGGAUAAAGGCUCUGGGAAUGUGGCCUUCACUUCGGUGAAGGUGUUAUAGCCCAGGGUGUAAUACGGCCAGCCGGGACUGAGGUCCGCGCUCGGCUAGGAUGCG
rnacentral:rRNA from 1 species